UACGGGGGGGGCAAGCGUUGUUCGGAAUUACUGGGCGUAAAGGGCUCGUAGGCGGCCAACUAAGUCAGACGUGAAAUCCCUCGGCUUAACCGGGGAACUGCGUCUGAUACUGGAUGGCUUGAGUUUGGGAGAGGGAUGCGGAAUUCCAGGUGUAGCGGUGAAAUGCGUAGAUAUCUGGAGGAACACCGGUGGCGAAGGCGGCAUCCUGGACCAACACUGACGCUGAGUGAGCGAAAGCGUGGGGAUCAAACAGG
rnacentral:rRNA from 1 species